rnacentral:rRNA from 1 species
CGGAGGGUGCAGGCGUUGCUCGGAAUUAUUGGGCGUAAAGGGCAGGUAGGUGGUCUGAUUUGUCAGGGGUGAAAGCCUUGGGCUUAACUCAAGAAGUGCCCCUGAAACGGUCAGACUAGAGUACUGGAGAGGGUCGUGGAAUUCCCGGUGUAGCGGUGAAAUGCGUAGAGAUCGGGAGGAACACCAGAGGCGAAGGCGGCGACCUGGACAGUGACUGACACUCAACUGCGAAAGCGUGGGGAGCAAACAGGAUUAGAUACCCUGGUAGUCCACGCCGUAAACGAUGGAUACUAGGCUUGGCGGGUCUUGACCCCUGCCGAGCCGCAGCUAACGCAAUAAGUAUCCCGCCUGGGAAGUACGGUCGCAAGACUA